rnacentral:rRNA from 1 species
UCCUACGGGAGGCAGCAGUGAGGAAUAUUGGUCAAUGGACGCAAGUCUGAACCAGCCAUGCCGCGUGCAGGAAGACGGCUCUAUGAGUUGUAAACUGCUUUUGUACGAGGGUAAAUGCAGGUACGUGUAUCUGUUUGAAAGUAUCGUACGAAUAAGGAUCGGCUAACUCCGUGCCAGCAGCCGCGGUAAUACGGAGGAUGCGAGCGUUAUCCGGAUUUAUUGGGUUUAAAGGGUGCGUAGGCGGUAUUUUAAGUUAGUGGUAAAACGUCGGGGCUUCACCUUGAUUGGCCAUUAAAACUGGAGUA